CGGGACACGUGGUAUCCUGUCUGAAUAUGGGGGGACCAUCCUCCAAGGCUAAAUACUCCUGACUGACCGAUAGUGAACCAGUACCGUGAGGGAAAGGCGAAAAGAACCCCGGCGAGGGGAGUGAAAAAGAACCUGAAACCGUGUACGUACAAGCAGUGGGAGCCUCUUAAUGGGGUGACUGCGUACCUUUUGUAUAAUGGGUCAGCGACUUAUAUUCUGUAGCAAGGUUAACCGAAUAGGGGAGCCGAAGGGAAACCGAGUCUUAACUGGGCGUUAAGUUGCAGGGUAUAGACCCGAAACCCGGUGAUCUAGCCAUGGGCAGGUUGAAGGUUGGGUAACACUAACUGGAGGACCGAACCGACUAAUGUUGAAAAAUUAGCGGAUGACUUGUGGCUGGGGGUGAAAGGCCAAUCAAACCGGGAGAUAGCUGGUUCUCCCCGAAAGCUAUUUAGGUAGCGCCUCGUGAAUUCAUCUCCGGGGGUAGAGCACUGUUUCGGCAAGGGGGUCAUCCCGACUUACCAACCCGAUGCAAACUGCGAAUACCGGAGAAUGUUAUCACGGGAGACACACGGCGGGUGCUAACGUCCGUCGUGAAGAGGGAAACAACCCAGACCGCCAGCUAAGGUCCCAAAGUCAUGGUUAAGUGGGAAACGAUGUGGGAAGGCCCAGACAGCCAGGAUGUUGGCUUAGAAGCAGCCAUCAUUUAAAGAAAGCGUAAUAGCUCACUGGUCGAGUCGGCCUGCGCGGAAGAUGUAACGGGGCUAAACCAUGCACCGAAGCUGCGGCAGCGACACUAUGUGUUGUUGGGUAGGGGAGCGUUCUGUAAGCCUGCGAAGGUGUACUGUGAGGUAUGCUGGAGGUAUCAGAAGUGCGAAUGCUGACAUAAGUAACGAUAAAGCGGGUGAAAAGCCCGCUCGCCGGAAGACCAAGGGUUCCUGUCCAACGUUAAUCGGGGCAGGGUGAGUCGACCCCUAAGGCGAGGCCGAAAGGCGUAGUCGAUGGGAAACAGGUUAAUAUUCCUGUACUUGGUGUUACUGCGAAGGGGGGACGGAGAAGGCUAUGUUGGCCGGGCGACGGUUGUC
rnacentral:rRNA from 1 species